rnacentral:rRNA from 1 species
CGACAAGCCAUUUUUAGCUUGCUAUUAAUGGUGGAGGAGCGGCGUAAGGGAGAGUAACGGGUGGAUUAUCUGCCCUCAGGUCUGGGAUAGCCACGGGAAACUGUGGGUAAUACCGGAUAAUAUCUGCGGAUCAAAGGUGUGAUUCCGCCUGGGGAUGAGUCCGCCUCCUAUUAGCUUGUUGGUGGGGUAACGGCCUACCAAGGCUACGAUGGGUACCGGGUGUGAGAGCAUGGCCCGGCUCACUGGGACUGAAACACUGCCCAGACACCUACGGGUGGCUGCAGUCGAGAAUCUUCGGCAAUGGGCGCAAGCCUGACCGAGCGAUGCCGCGUGCGGGAUGAAGGCCUUCGGGUUGUAAACCGCUGUCAGUAGGGAGGAAAUCUAUGGGGGUCAUCCCCCAUAGUUGACCUAUCUUCAGAGGAAGGACGGGCUAAGUUCGUGCCAGCAGCCGCGGUAAGACGAACCGUCCAAACGUUAUUCGGAAUUACUGGGCUUAAAGGGUGCGUAGGCGGCACGGUCAGUCGGAUGUGAAAUCGUACAGCUCAACUGUACAACUGCGU